rnacentral:rRNA from 1 species
GACGGCCCUCUGGGUUGUAAACUUCUUUUAUCUGGGACGAAAAAAGGGCUUUCUAGCUCGACUGACGGUACCAGAGGAAUAAGCACCGGCUAACUCCGUGCCAGCAGCCGCGGUAAUACGGAGGGUGCAAGCGUUAUCCGGAUUUACUGGGUUUAAAGGGUGCGUAGGUGGGUCUGUAAGUCAGUGGUGAAAUCUCCGAGCUUAACUCGGAAACUGCCAUUGAUACUAUAGAUCUUGAAUUAUCUGGAGGUAAGCGGAAUAUGUCAUGUAGCGGUGAAAUGCUUAGAUAUGACAUAGAACACCAAUUGCGAAGGCAGCUUACUACGGAUCGAUUGACACUGAGGCACGAAAGCGUGGGGAUCAAACAGGAUUAGAUACCCUGGUAGUCCACGCCCUAAACGAUGGAUACUCGACAUUUGCGAUAUACUGUAAGUGUCUGAGCGAAAGCAUUAAGUAUCCCACCUGGGAAGUACGAUCGCAAGAUUGAAACUCAAA